rnacentral:rRNA from 1 species
GCGCACGGGUGAGUAACGCGUAUGCAACCUACCUAUCAGAGGGGAAUAACCCGGCGAAAGUCGGACUAAUACCGCAUAAAACAGGGGUUCCACAUGGAAAUAUUUGUUAAAGAAUUAUCGCUGAUAGAUGGGCAUGCGUUCCAUUAGAUAGUUGGUGAGGUAACGGCUCACCAAGUCCACGAUGGAUAGGGGUUCUGAGAGGAAGGUCCCCCACACUGGUACUGAGACACGGACCAGACUCCUACGGGAGGCAGCAGUGAGGAAUAUUGGUCAAUGGGCGAGAGCCUGAACCAGCCAAGUCGCGUGAAGGAUGAAGGAUCUAUGGUUUGUAAACUUCUUUUAUAUGGGAAUAAAGUGAGGAACGUGUUCCUUUUUGUAUGUACCAUAUGAAUAAGCAUCGGCUAACUCCGUGCCAGCAGCCGCGGUAAUACGGAGGAUGCGAGCGUUAUCCGGAUUUAUUGGGUUUAAAGGGUGCGUAGGUGGUUAAUUAAGUCAGCGGUGAAAGUUUGUGGCUCAACCAUAAAAUUGCCGUUGAAACUGGUUGACUUGAGUAUAUUUGAGGUAGGCGGAAUGCGUGGUGUAGCGGUGAAAUGCAUAGAUAUCACGCAGAACUCCGAUUGCGAAGGCAGCUUACUAAACUAUAACUGACACUGAAGCACGAAAGCGUGGGGAUCAAACAGGAUUAGAUACCCUGGUAGUCCACGCAGUAAACGAUGAUUACUAGCUGUUUGCGAUACACAGUAAGCGGCACAGCGAAAGCGUUAAGUAAUCCACCUGGGGAGUACGCCGGCAACGGUGAAACUCAAAGGAAUUGACUGGGGCCCGCACAAGCGGAGGAACAUGUGGUUUAA